GACGAACGCUGGCGGCGUGCCUAAUACAUGCAAGUAGAACGCAGUUGCGAACGGGUGAGUAACGCAUAGGUAACUGCCUGGUAGCGGGGGCUAACUAUUGGAAACGAUAGCUAAUACCGCAUACUACCAGAUGGACCUGCGUUGUAUUAUCUAGUUGGUGAGGUAACGGCUCACCAAGGCAACGAUACAUAACCGACCUGGGAGGGUGGUCGGGCACACCGGGACUGAGACACGGCCCAGACGCCUACGGGAGGCAGCAGUAGGGGAUCUUCGGCAAUGGGGGGAACCCUGACCGAGCAAAGCCGCGUGAGUGAAGAAGGUGUUCGGAUUGUAAAGCUCUGUUUUGAAGGAAGCGGUACUUAACCAGAAAGGGACGGCUAACUACGUGCCAGCAGCCGCGGUAAUUC
rnacentral:rRNA from 1 species